rnacentral:piRNA from 1 species
UGUUAGAAGCUCCCUAGGCAUGCCGUG